rnacentral:rRNA from 1 species
CCCCGCCUGGGGAGUACGGGUGAGGUAACGGCUCACCAAGGCAUCGACGGGUAGCUGGUCUGAGAGGAUGAUCAGCCACACUGGGACUGAGACACGGCCCAGACUCCUACGGGAGGCAGCAGUAGGGAAUAUUGCACAAUGGGCGAAAGCCUGAUGCAGCAACGCCGCGUGCGGGAAGAAGGCCCUAGGGUUGUAAACCGCUUUCAGCAGGGAAGAAAAUGACGGUACCUGCAGAAGAAGGUGCGGCCAACUACGUGCCAGCAGCCGCGGUGACACGUAGGCACCAAGCGUUGUCCGGAUUUAUUGGGCGUAAAGAGCUCGUAGGCGGUUCAGUUAGUCGGGUGUGAAAACUCUGGGCUCAACCCAGAGACGCCACUCGAUACUGCUGUGACUAGAGUGCGGUAGGGGAGCGGGGAAUUCCUAGUGUAGCGGCGAAAUGCGCAGAUAUUAGGAGGAACACCAGUGGCGAAGGCGCCGCUCUGGGCCGUAACUGACGCUGAGGAGCGAAAGCGUGGGUAGCAAACAGGAUUAGAUACCCUGGUAGUCCACGCCGUAAACGUUGGGCACUAGGUGUGGGUCUCAACCAACGAGAUCCGCGCCGUCGCUAACGCAUUAAGUGCCCCGCCUGGGGAGUACGG